rnacentral:rRNA from 1 species
GAUGAACGCUAGCGGCAGGCUUAACACAUGCAAGUCGAGGGGUAGAGGAAGCUUGCUUCCUUGAGACCGGCGCACGGGUGCGUAACGCGUAUGCAAUCUACCUUAUACAGGGGGAUAGCCCAGAGAAAUUUGGAUUAAUACCCCAUAGUAUAAUUGAAUGGCAUCAUUUAAUUAUUAAAGUUCCAACGGUAUAAGAUGAGCAUGCGUCCAUUAGCUAGUUGGUGUGGUAACGGCACACCAAGGCGACGAUGGGUAGGGGUCCUGAGAGGGAGAUCCCCCACACUGGUACUGAGACACGGACCAGACUCCUACGGGAGGCAGCAGUGAGGAAUAUUGGUCAAUGGGCGGCCAAGACCUGAACCAAGCCAUGCCGCGUGCAGGAUGACGGUCCUAUGGAUUGUAAACUAGCUUUGUUACAGGAA